rnacentral:rRNA from 1 species
UACGUAGGGGGCCAGCGUUGUCCGGAAUCAUUGGGCGUAAAGCGCGCGUAGGCGGUCAGGUAAGUCCGGUGUGAAAGUCAUAGGCUCAACCUAUGGAUGCCGCUGGAAACUGCCUGACUUGAGUCCGGGAGGGGCGAGUGGAAUUCCUGGUGUAGCGGUGAAAUGCGCAGAUAUCAGGAAGAACACCAAUGGCGAAGGCGGUUCUCUGGGACGGUACUGACGCUGAGACGCGAAAGCGUGGGGAGCGAACAGG